rnacentral:ncRNA from 2 species
GGUCGAGAGCGUCAGCGACAAGCCCUGGCUCGCUGACCGGCAACCCUCCUUCACGGCGGGGUGCCCCAGGUGAUGACCCGGCGGAGGCCACCCCUCCGCAAGCGUGGACG